rnacentral:lncRNA from 1 species
GUUGUGUUGUUUGAGUUGAUGAGGUUAUUUAUGAGUGGCAUGGUCCAUUGAAUAUCGACAUUGGUGUGAAUGCUUCAUUGAGAAAUGGAAGAAAUGGUCAUUGUGGUGUUUGGUAGCCGUAUGUUUGUUGGAUGUUUUGGUGUUGUGAUGUUAGAGUGUUUCGACUAUAGUAGGAAGUGUUAAUGUCAUAUGUUUCUUGGAUAAUUUGGCUAUGGUAGGACGAUGUGUUGGCGAGGUAUGUUUGUUGGGUGUUUUGAUAAU